CAAUAGCGUAUAUUAAAGUUGUUGCAGUUAAAAAGCUCGUAGUUGGAUUUGUGGCGUACGGUGUGUUCCGGGCACUUGUUGUCUGAGUAACAUGCUGUUGCCAUCCUUGGGUGGAACCUGUGUGGCAUUAGGUUGUCGUGCAGGGGAUGCCCAUCAUUUACUGUGAAAAAAUUAGAGUGUUCAAAGCAGGCUUAUGCCGUUGAAUAUAUUAGCAUGGAAUAAUGAGAUAGGACUUUCUUGCUAUUUUGUUGGUUUGCGCAAAGAGGUAAUGAUUAAUAGGGACAGUUGGGGGUAUUCGUAUUCCAUUGUCAGAGGUGAAAUUCUUGGAUUUUUGGAAGACGAACUACUGCGAAAGCAUUUACCAAGGAUGUUUUCAUUAA
rnacentral:rRNA from 1 species